UCAAGCAAUAAGGGCACAGGGCGGAUGCCUUGGCACUAAGAGCCGAAGAAAGACGUGAUAAGCUGCGAUAAGCUUCGGGGAGGAGCAAAUAUCCUUUGAUCCGGAGAUCUCUGAAUGGGGAAACCCGGCAGAGCACACCUCUGUCAUCCAUACGCCAAUCCAUAACGUAUGGAAGGGAACCCGGGGAACUGAAACAUCUAAGUACCCGGAGGAAAAGAAAGAAAACUCGAUUCUGCAAGUAGCGGCGAGCGAACGCGGAAGAGCCUAAACCGGAAUGCGUGCAUUCCGGGGUUACGGACUGCAUGAAUGAUUCUUAGAAGCUAACAGAACGGUUUUGGGAAAGCCGGCCGCAGAGGGUGAAAGCCCCGUAUGUGAAAGCAGAUGAGACUGAGCAGGAUCCAGAGUACCACGAGACACGAGAAACCUUGUGGGAAGUCAGGGGGACCACCCCCUAAGGCUAAAUACUACUUAGUGACCGAUAGCGCAUAGUACUGUGAAGGAAAGGUGAAAAGGACCCCGGGAGGGGAGUGAAAGAGAACCUGAAACCCUGUGUCUACAAGCUGUGGGAGCACCUUAUGCGUGCAACCGCGUACUUUUUGUAGAACGGUCCGGCGAGUUACGCUUACUGGCAAGGUUAAGUCCUUAAGGGACGGAGCCGUAGGGAAACCAAGUCUUAACAGGGCCUUAAGUCAGUAGGAGUAGACCCGAAACCGGGUGAUCUACCCAUGUCCAGGAUGAAGCUGCCGUAAGAGGCAGUGGAGGUCCGGACCCACAUCCGUUGAAAAGGGUGGGGAUGAGGUGUGGGUAGGGGAGAAAUUCCAAUCGAACCCGGAGAUAGCUGGUUCUCCUCGAAAUAGCUUUAGGGCUAGCCUCGGUCAUGAGUCUUGUGGAGGUAGAGCACUGAAUUUCCUAGGGGGCGUCAAAGCCUACCGAAGAAUAUCAAACUCCGAAUGCCAUGUAGACAGGACCGGGAGUCAGACUGCACGAGAUAAGUUGGGCAGUCAAAAGGGAAAGAGCCCAGACCUUCAGUUAAGGUCCCAAAGUGUACGUUAAGUGGAAAAGGAUGUGGGGUCUCGAAGACAACCAGGAUGUUGGCUCAGAAGCAGCCAUUCAUUCAAAGAGUGCGUAAUAGCUCACUGGUCGAGAGGCCCUGCGCCGAAAAUGUCCGGGGCUGAAACGUACCACCGAAACUAAGGGAUCCGCAAGGAUCGGUAGAGGAGCAUUGCAUGCGGAACGAAGCAGUACCGUAAGGAGCUGUGGACUGCAUGGAAGAGAGAAUGCCGGAAUGAGUAGCGAGAUAAAGGUGAGAAUCCUUUAGGCCGAAUAUCCAAGGUUUCCAGGGUAAAGCUGAUCUGCCCUGGGUAAGUCGGGGCCUAAGGCGAGGACGAGAGUCGUAGCCGAUGGACAACAGGUGGAGAUUCCUGUACUGCGGUAUGACAGAACUGUGGGGACACGUAAGGAAAGCGGAAGCCGGGAAUGGAAAGCCCGGUGCAAGCAGGGUACCAGUCGCUUAGGCAAAUCCGGGUGUCAAUGGGAAGCUGUGAUGCGGAGCGAAAUACAAGUAGCGAAGUCCGUGAGCCAUGCGUCAAGAAAAGCCGCUAUUGUUUAUACCGUACCCGUACCGUAAACCGACACAGGUGGAUGAGGAGAGAAUCCUAAGGCCGGCGGAAGAAGCAUUGUCAAGGAACUCGGCAAAAUGACCCCGUAACUUCGGGAGAAGGGGUGCCACUGAGAAGUGGCCGCAGAGAAUAGGCUCAAGCAACUGUUUAGCAAAAACACAGGUCUAUGCGAAACCGAAAGGUGAGGUAUAUGGGCUGACGCCUGCCCGGUGCUGGAAGGUUUAGAGGAGAGGUUAGCGGAAACGCGAAGCUUUGAAUUUAAGCCCCAGUAAACGGCGGCCGUAACUAUAACGGUCCUAAGGUAGCGAAAUUCCUUGUCGGGUAAGUUCCGACCCGCACGAAAGGCGUAAUGAUUUGAGCGCUGUCUCGACAAUGCAUCCGGUGAAAUUGAAGUACCAGUGAAGAUGC
rnacentral:rRNA from 1 species